UCUUCCGUAGUAUAGUGGUCAGUAUGUGAGCUUGUCAUCCAGUCAACAACGCUCGAGACCCGGGUUCAAUUCCCGGCGGGAGAG
rfam:Podospora anserina genomic DNA, chromosome 7.